rnacentral:rRNA from 1 species
UACGUAGGGUGCGAGCGUUGUCCGGAAUUAUUGGGCGUAAAGAGCUCGUAAGCGGUCUGUCGCGUCGAUCGUGAAAACUUGGGGCUUAACCCUGAGCUUGCGGUCGAUACGGGCAUGACUGGAGUUCGGCAGGGGAGACUGGAAUUCCUGGUGUAGCGGUGAAAUGCGCAGAUAUCAGGAGGAACACCGGUGGCGAAGGCGGGUCUCUGGGCCGAUACUGACGCUGAGGAGCGAAAGCCAGGGGAGCAAACGGG